rnacentral:tRNA from 1 species
GGGCUCGUAGCUCAGUGGUAGUAGCAGGCAGCUUAUAUCUGUCAGGUCGGAGGUCCGAUCCCUCCCGAGCCCA